rnacentral:rRNA from 1 species
AUACGUAGGGUGCGAGCGUUGUCCGGAAUUACUGGGCGUAAAGAGCUCGUAGGUGGUUUGUCGCGUCGUCUGUGAAAUUCCGGGGCUUAACUCCGGGCGUGCAGGCGAUACGGGCAUAACUUGAGUACUGUAGGGGAGACUGGAAUUCCUGGUGUAGCGGUGAAAUGCGCAGAUAUCAGGAGGAACACCGGUGGCGAAGGCGGGUCUCUGGGCAGUAACUGGCGCUGGGGAGCGAAAGCAUGGGUAGCGAACAGGAUUAGAUCCCCUGGUAGUCCAUGCCGUAAACGGUGGGCGCUAGGUGUAGGGGUCUUCCACGACUUCUGUGCCGUAGCUAACGCAUUAAGCGCCCCGCCUGGGGAGUACGGCCGCAAGGCUAAAACUCAAAUGAAUUGACGGGG